rnacentral:lncRNA from 1 species
UCCGGACGUUGGAUCCCAUUGCUAUAUAUUUAUAUCGAUUGGUUUAAAAAUUUAUUCCUGUACUAUCGAUUUAGAUUUGAACUUAUAAAGUCACACUCAAAAAAAAUUUCUGACUGAUCAUGUGGUUGAUCAAUGAUUAAGAAUCGUUCAAGGAUUUAAUCAUCAAUUUGAUUGAUGGAUAACCUUAUGCAAAAGUUGUAAUAAAUUUAUUCAUGAAGUGUUAAUGAAUUAAUAGAGAAUUA